UUACUGCUCAGUAACACGUAGUCAACCUACCCUGGAGAUGCGGAUAAACCCGGGAAACUGGGGCUAAUACGCGAUAGAUGACCUCAUCUGGAAGGAGAGGUCGUCCAAAAGGCGGCACGGGUAUGCUCCGUGCUAUCCGCUCCAGGAUGGGACUGCGGCCGAUCAGGCUGUUGGCGGGGUAAUGGCCCACCAAACCUGUAACCGGUACGGGCUUUGAGAGAAGGAGCCCGGAGAUGGACACUGAGACAAGGGUCCAGGCCCUACGGGGCGCAUCAGGCGCGAAAACUUCGCAAUGCGCGAAAGCGUGACGAGGCUAGUCCGAGUGCUUCCCGCUAAGGGAGGCUUUUCUCGGCUGUAAAUAGGCCGGGGAAUAAGGGGAGGGCAAGUCUGGUGUCAGCCGCCGCGGUAAUACCAGCUCCUCGAGUGGUCGGGACGAUUAUUGGGCCUAAAGCACCCGUAGCCGGUUCAGUAAGUCCUCUGUCAAAUCCAACCGCUCAACGGUUGGCCCGCAGAGGAUACUGCUAGACUAGGAGGCGGGAGAGGCGGACGGUACUCCGCGUGUAGGGGUAAAAUCCUUUGAUCCGCGGAAGACCACCAGAACGUUUGCGGUUAAUGACCACAGGCUUGGUGAAUGGCGAAGGCGGUCCGCCAGAACGCGCUCGACGGUGAGGGGUGAAAGCUGGGGGAGCGAACCGGAUUAGAUACCCGGGUAGUCCCAGCCGUAAACGAUGCGAGCUAGAUGAUUCGAUCGCAGUUCGCGAUCGAAGUGUCGCAGGGAAGCCGUUAAGCUCGCCGCCCGGGGAGUACGGUCGCAAGGCUGAAUCGCGAGCGGAGGAAACUCUGUUCGCGCAGUUCACUUAAAGGAAUUGGCGGGGGAGCACAA
rnacentral:rRNA from 1 species